GACGAACGCUGGCGGCGUGCUUAACACAUGCAAGUCGAACGGAAAGGCCCUGCUUUUGUGGGGUGCUCGAGUGGCGAACGGGUGAGUAACACGUGAGUAACCUGCCCUUGACUUUGGGAUAACUUCAGGAAACUGGGGCUAAUACCGGAUAGGAGCUCCUGCUGCAUGGUGGGGGUUGGAAAGUUUCGGCGGUUGGGGAUGGACUCGCGGCUUAUCAGCUUGUUGGUGGGGUAGUGGCUUACCAAGGCUUUGACGGGUAGCCGGCCUGAGAGGGUGACCGGCCACAUUGGGACUGAGAUACGGCCCAGACUCCUACGGGAGGCAGCAGUGGGGAAUAUUGCACAAUGGGCGGAAGCCUGAUGCAGCAACGCCGCGUGCGGGAUGACGGCCUUCGGGUUGUAAACCGCUUUCGCCUGUGACGAAGCGUGAGUGACGGUAAUGGGUAAAGAAGCACCGGCUAACUACGUGCCAGCAGCCGCGGUGAUACGUAGGGUGCGAGCGUUGUCCGGAUUUAUUGGGCGUAAAGGGCUCGUAGGUGGUUGAUCGCGUCGGAAGUGUAAUCUUGGGGCUUAACCCUGAGCGUGCUUUCGAUACGGGUUGACUUGAGGAAGGUAGGGGAGAAUGGAAUUCCUGGUGGAGCGGUGGAAUGCGCAGAUAUCAGGAGGAACACCAGUGGCGAAGGCGGUUCUCUGGGCCUUUCCUGACGCUGAGGAGCGAAAGCGUGGGGAGCGAACAGGCUUAGAUACCCUGGUAGUCCACGCUGUAAACGGUGGGUACUAGGUGUGGGGUCCAUUCCACGGGUUCCGUGCCGUAGCUAACGCUUUAAGUACCCCGCCUGGGGAGUACGGCCGCAAGGCUAAAACUCAAAGGAAUUGACGGGGCCCCGCACAAGCGGCGGAGCAUGCGGAUUAAUUCGAUGCAACGCGUAGAACCUUACCUGGGUUUGACAUGGAUCGGGAGUGCUCAGAGAUGGGUGUGCCUCUUUUGGGGUCGGUUCACAGGUGGUGCAUGCCUGUCGUCAGCUCGUGUCGUGAGAUGUUGGGUUAAGUCCCGCAACGAGCGCAACCCUUGUUCACUGUUGCCAGCACGUUAUGGUGGGGACUCAGUGGAGACCGCCGGGGUCAACUCGGAGGAAGGUGGGGAUGACGUCAAGUCAUCAUGCCCCUUAUGUCCAGGGCUUCACGCAUGCUACAAUGGCUGGUACAGAGAGUGGCGAGCCUGUGAGGGUGAGCGAAUCUCGGAAAGCCGGUCUCAGUUCGGAUUGGGGUCUGCAACACGACCUCAUGAAGUCGGAGUCGCUAGUAAUCGCAGAUCAGCAACGCUGCGGUGAAUACGUUCCCGGG
rnacentral:rRNA from 1 species